AUGAGGUUGGGCCUCACCUUUCCGCUAGCCCUUCUGUUCCUCCUCGGUCCAGCUGCAGGGAGCUUGGGGAAUUUGAGACAACUGUCCUCUACUCCACCCCAGACUUUGGCCUCAACUCCAAACUUACCGGUGACUACAGAUCCAGCUCUGACUCCUUGGACAGCUCCCUUGACAGCCUCUUGGGCAGAAGGCGGUCCUGUGUCCCAGUCGUUUUCCAAUUUCACGGGCUCUGUGGAUGACCGCGGCACCUGCCAGUGCUCCGUGUCCCUGCCAGACAAGGUCUUUCCCGUGGAAAGAGUGGAACGCUUGGAAUUCACAGCUCACAUCCUUUCCGAGAAGUUCGAGAAAGAGCUUUCUAAAGUGAAGGAAUAUGUCCAAUUAAUCAGUGUAUAUGAAAAGAAACUCUUCAACCUAACUGUCCGGAUUGAGAUCAUGGAAAAGGAUACUAUUUCUUACACUGAACUUGACUUUGAGCUGAUCAAGAUGGAAAUAAAGGAGAUGGAGAAACUGAUCAUACAGCUGAAGGAGAGUUUUGUGGGAAGCACACACAUUGUUGACCAGCUGGAAGUGGAGAUAAGGAAUAUGACUCUCCUGGUGGAGAAGCUCGAGACGCUAGAUGCAAACAAUGUCCUUGCCAUUCGCCGAGAAAUCUUGGCUCUGAAGAAGAAGCUGAAGGAAUGUGAGGCCUCGAGAGAUGAAAACCUUCAUGCCACUGUCCCUCCCCCUGCUCCAGGGAGCUGUGGUCACGGUGGUGUAUUGAACAUCAGCAAACCAUCUAUAGUUCAGCUCAACUGGCAAGGGUUUUCCUAUAAGUUUGGUGCCUGGGGUCGGGAUUAUUCUCCCCAGCACCCAGACCAAGGACUGUAUUGGGUGGCACCUUUAAAUACAGAUGCGAGAGUGUUGGAAUACUACAGAAUCUAUAACACACUGGAUGAUUUGCUACUGUAUAAACAUGCACGACAGUCUCGGAUUGCUUAUGGCCAAGGCAGUGGUACAGCUGUUUACAACAACAACAUGUAUGUCAACUGGUACAACACCGGAAACAUUGCCAGAGUUAACCUGACCACCAAUACAGUUGCUGUGACUCAAAAUCUCCCUGGUGCUGCUUAUAAUAACCGUUUUUCAUACGCUAAUGUUGCUUGGCAAGAUAUUGACAUUGCUGUGGAUGAGCAUGGAUUGUGGGUGAUUUAUUCAACUGAAGCCAGUACUGGUAACAUGGUGAUUAGCAAACUCAAUGACACCACACUUCAGGUGCUAAAUACUUGGUCUACCAAGCAGUAUAAACCAUCUGUUUCUAAUGCCUUCAUGGUUUGUGGGGUUCUAUAUGCCACCCGUACUCUGAACACCAGAGCCGAAGAGAUUUUUUACUACUAUGACACAAACACAGAAAAAGAGGGCCAGCUUCAGAUUCCAAUGCAUAAGGUACAGGAAAGAGUGCAGAGCAUUAACUAUCACCCUUUUGAGCAAAAACUUUUCGUUUAUAAUGAUGGUUACCUCCUGACUUAUGAUCUUAUUUUCUUACAAGAACCCCAGAAAACUGUUUAG
ensembl:lncRNA